rnacentral:rRNA from 1 species
UACGUAGGGGGCGAGCGUUGUCCGGAUUUAUUGGGCGUAAAGAGCUCGUAGGCGGCUUGGCAAGUCGGGUGUGAAACCUCCAGGCUCAACCUGGAGACGCCACUCGAUACUGCCAUGGCUAGAGUCCGGUAGGUGACCACGGAAUUCCUGGUGUAGCGGUGAAAUGCGCAGAUAUCAGGAGGAACACCGGUGGCGAAGGCGGUGGUCUGGGCCGGCACUGACGCUGAGGAGCGAAAGCGUGGGUAGCAAACAGG